UGUUACUGAGAGCUCCUCCAGGGCAAAGACCACAGGUCAUUUAUCCCCAGUGCACACCGUAAUGUAUGGCACACACAAGAUACCUGACUAAUGUUUACUGAAUGAGUAAAGAUGAGAUAAUAAGAAAGCAAUUGAAGAAAGUUACUGGAGAUGGGAAGCUGUCUUUCAUUAGGAAGUCCCUUCUAGAAACAUAGCUGCCAGUGAUGUUGUAUUCAUUCCCCCUCCAAACGUAAAAUCAAAACUUUCAAGAGGACGUUUUGCUCUGGAAACUUCUGAGAUCAAAGGUCAAAAGCACUUGUUCAUUAUCAAUCUCAGAACUAGAGAAGUAGAAUUGUUGAACCAAGAACCUGGACUCUGAAUCUUCAGGGAGGCAAUGUCUGACUGCGAAGAGCAGAGCAGCUGAAGGCUCCUUCCCCAGCUACAGACACCUCUAGACCUUGACUCCUUAGACAAGAGGCGCCAGUGGUUUCACAGAUCUAUGUGCUUAGUACAAAAGGAAGAAAAGGCCACCACCACCUCAAUACGACUGCAGGAAGUCAUGGUAGAGGUUCACAUCCAAAGAGACCACAUUAAACCAGGAUUUAAGAAGUUAGAACUCAAAAGUCUUACUUUCAAGUCACAACUUUGAUUUGGGAGGUCCACUUAAACCUCACAUUAACUUUCUCUCUUUGUUUUAUCUUGCUGGCUAUGUAUCCUUGGGCAAGUUCUUUUCUUGACCUCCCUCAACCCCAGGCUCCUCAUUACAUCUAUAAAAUGAGGAUAACAGUACCCCAUCAAAUUUUGGUGAAGAUUAAAUGAGAUAAUAAUGUGUAUGUGGUUCAUAGUAUUCAAGUUUUUCUAAAAAAAAAAUAGACUUUAGUGACUUUCUUCUUUUUUAAAUUUUUUAUUUUUAGUUAUUAUGAACACAUAAUAGUUGUAUAUAUUCACAGCGUACAUGGGAUAUUUUGAUACAGGCAUACAAAGUAUCAAGGUAAUUGGGGUAUACAGACCUCAAGCAUUUGCCAUUUCUAUGUGUUAGGAACAUUCCAAUUUCACCCUUUUAGUAAUUUUAAAUUAUAUAAUUAUUGUUAACUAUAGUCACCGUAUUGUGCUACUAAAUAUGAGAUCUUAUUCAUUAUAUCUAACGUAUUUUGUACCUAUUAACCAUCCCCACUGCAUAUGGGCUUCCCUGCUUUCUUCCCACCCUCUCGUAAGCACCAGUUCUAUUCUCUAUCUCCGUGAGUUCAAUUUUUUUUUCUUUUUUUUUUAGCUCCCACAUAUGAAUGAGAACACGUGAUAUUUGUCUUUAUGUGUCUGGCUUAUUUAACCUAACAUAAUGCCUUCCUGUUCCAUCCAUUCAACUCUUAAUAAAUGUAAGAAAUAUUACAAGAGUGUC
rnacentral:lncRNA from 1 species